rnacentral:rRNA from 1 species
UACGAAGGGGGCUAGCGUUGCUCGGAAUUACUGGGCGUAAAGGGCGCGUAGGCGGACAGUUUGGUCAGAGGUGAAAGCCCAGGGCUCAACCUUGGAAUUGCCUUUGAUACUGGCUGUCUUGAGUUCGGGAGAGGUGAGUGGAAUGCCGAGUGUAGAGGUGAAAUUCGUAGAUAUUCGGCGGAACACCAGUGGCGAAGGCGACUCACUGGCCCGAUACUGACGCUGAGGCGCGAAAGCGUGGGGAGCAAACAGG